AACGAACGCUGGCGGCAGGCCUAACACAUGCAAGUCGAACGCCCCGCAAGGGGAGUGGCGCACGGGUGAGUAACGCGUGGGAAUAUGCCCUUCGGUUCGGAAUAACACAGGGAAACUUGUGCUAAUACCGGAUACGAUCUACGGAUGAAAGAUUUAUCGCCGAGGGAGUAGCCCGCGUAGGAUUAGCUAGUUGGUGAGGUAAUGGCUCACCAAGGCGACGAUCCUUAGCUGGUUUGAGAGGAUGAUCAGCCACACUGGGACUGAGACACGGCCCAGACUCCUACGGGAGGCAGCAGUGGGGAAUAUUGGACAAUGGGCGAAAGCCUGAUCCAGCCAUGCCGCGUGAGUGAUGAAGGCCUUAGGGUUGUAAAGCUCUUUCGCCAGGGAAGAUAAUGACGGUACCUGGAAAAGAAGCCUCGGCUAACUCCGUGCCAGCCGCAGCCGUAA
rnacentral:rRNA from 1 species